GGGCUAAAAGCACAAUUUUCCCCUCCGCUCAAAAACGCUCGGAUCCUAGGCCGGGUCGGGUCGGUGUCGGGUCGACCCAUGCCCAAAACGACGCCAUCUUGAAGGGCUAUUUAAACCAAUUUUUGUUUAAAAAAACACAUUUUCAUUCCUUCUCAGAAAAACAAAAAAAAACUCCUUAAAAACUCUCUCCCCUCCCUAAACAUCCGGCCAGGAUCCG
rnacentral:lncRNA from 1 species